GCCGGAGUGGCGAAAUGGCAGACGCACUGGACUCAAAAUCCAGCGGUGGCAACACCGUGUGGGUUCAACUCCCUCCUCCGGCA
rnacentral:tRNA from 1 species